ensembl:lncRNA
CCCGGCACACUCGGAGAAGUGCCAGCCCCUUUGGCACCAUCAUCUGCUGCCUGUUGUGCUGCCAGGGAACGUGAGCUAGGAGCCCCGUCUGCGUCUCUUCUGCCCUCCUGAGCACUGGGACCUGGUCGCGUCUCAUCUGCGGGGCCACUCCCAGCAUUGGGGGCCAGCACCUGGGCAGAUCUCGGUGUUCCCAGAGUGCAGGUGGGUGGGCCUUGCUGUGGACCUGCUGGUUUCUGGCUGGGUUUUGGUCUUGCGGCUACUGGACGCCCCCGAUAUGCCAACCCGAGUGACUUCUGUGUGGCAUGUGCAGGCUGGAGGGGGGGCGCAGGAACAAAGAGGGAUGCUCCACGAGUUGACUGAGGCUGUCUCCCUUCCGCGGAGACAUUGCUGUGGGGCACUCCCUUCCUGAGAUCCAGCCUGUCCGCCUGCAAGAGAAAUGGAGGAGAGAAUCUAAGUUUGCGGGAUCCUGUCCUUUCACACUGCACAAGUAGCUGCUGGAAAGGCCUUGCGGAGAGCCCCGAG